AAGAGAAUCGGAGACAGUUUUUGUGUCUCUGUGUUGAGAAGAACAGCGAGGUAUAACGAAAUCAACGGCCGAGAUAUCGUUUCAGUCGUCAUUUUCUUAUUGGCGAUUCGAUUGUUGCUCGUCCACAU